AACGAACGCUGGCGGCAGGCCUAACACAUGCAAGUCGAGCGCCCUUUCGGGGGAGCGGCGGACGGGUGAGUAACGCGUGGGAAUAUGCCCUUCUCUACGGAAUAGCCUCGGGAAACUGAGAGUAAUACCGUAUACGCCCUAUGGGGGAAAGAUUUAUCGGGGAAGGAUUAGCCCGCGUUGGAUUAGGGGGUUGGUGGGGUAAUGGCCUACCAAGCCGACGAUCCAUAGCUGGUUUGAGAGGAUGAUCAGCCACACUGGGACUGCGACACGGCCCAGACUCCUACGAGAGGCAGCAGUGGGGAAUCUUAGCCAAUGGGGGCAACCCUGAUCUAGCCAUGCCGCGUGAGUGAUGAAGGCCUUAGGGUUGUAAAGCUCUUUCAGCUGGGAAGAUAAUGACGGUACCAGCAGAAGAAGCCCCGGCUAACUCCGUG
rnacentral:rRNA from 1 species